AGUCAAUAGAUACCCCGGUAGUCCACGCCGUAAACGAUGAAUACUAGGUGUAGGAGGUAUCGACUCCUUCUGUGCCGCAGUUAAACACAAUAAGUAUUCCGCCUGGGGAGUACGGUCGCAAGAUUAAAACUCAAAGGAAUUGACGGGGGCCCGGCACAAGCAGCGGAGCAUGUGGUUUAAUUCGAAGCAACGCGAAGAACCUUACCUAGACUUGACAUCUUCUGCAUUAAUCGUAAUGGAUGAAAUCCCUUCGGGGACAGAAUGACAGGUGGUGCAUGGUUGUCGUCAGCUCGUGUCGUGAGAUGUUGGGUUAAGUCCCGCAACGAGCGCAACCCCUAUUAUUAGUUGCUAACAUUAAGUUGAGCACUCUAGUGAGACUGCCCGGGUUAACCGGGAGGAAGGUGGGGAUGACGUCAAAUCAUCAUGCCCCUUAUGUCUAGGGCUACACACGUGCUACAAUGGUGGGAACAAAGAGAUGCAAUACCGCAAGGUGGAGCUAAACUCAAAACCCCAUCCCAGUUCGGAUUGUAGGCUGAAACUCGC
rnacentral:rRNA from 1 species